CUCCUCUCAGGACCGUACCUGGAGAGUUUCCAGUCCUCUACCAGUCUUGACUCUGUGAGGGAAAGUCAAGCAGAAGCCUGUCCAUUCCAUUCCUAGCUCGGUCAGUGGCUAGCGAGUGGAAGGCCAUCUGCUACAAGU
rfam:Ornithorhynchus anatinus chromosome 2, whole genome shotgun sequence.